UACAGAGGUCUCAAGCGUUGUUCGGAUUCAUUGGGCGUAAAGGGUGCGUAGGUGGCGCCGUAAGUCAGGUGUGAAAUUUCGGAGCUUAACUCCGAAACUGCAUUGAUACUGCGGUGCUUGAGGACUGGAGAGGAGACUGGAAUUUACGGUGUAGCAGUGAAAUGCGUAGAGAUCGUAAGGAAGACCAGUGGCGAAGGCGGCCCGCUGGGCAGUGGCUGAUGCUGAGGCGCGGAC
rnacentral:rRNA from 1 species